rnacentral:rRNA from 1 species
UACAGGGGGUGCAAACGUUGCUCGGAAUCAUUGGGCGUAAAGCGCACGUAGGCGGUCUGUUAUGUCGGAUGUGAAAGCCCUUGGCUUAACUGAGGAAGUGCAUCCGAAACUGGCAGGCUAGAGUACUAAAGAGGGUCGCGGAAUUCCCGGUGUAGUGGUGAAAUGCGUAGAGAUCGGGAGGAACACCUGUGGCGAAGGCGGCCGACUGGGCCGACCCUGACGCUGAGGCGCGAAGGCGUGGGGAGCGAACGGG